rnacentral:rRNA from 1 species
GAUGAGCGCUGGCGGCGUGCCUAAUACAUGCAAGUCGAGCGAACGGACGAGAAGCUUGCUUUUCUGAUGUUAGCGGCGGACGGGUGAGUAACACGUGGAUAACCUACCUAUAAGACUGGGAUAACUUCGGGAAACCGGAGCUAAUACCGGAUAAUAUUUUGAACCGCAUGGUUCAAAAGUGAAAGACGGUCUUGCUGUCACUUAUAGAUGGAUCCGCGCUGCAUUAGCUAGUUGGUAAGGUAACGGCUUACCAAGGCAACGAUGCAUAGCCGACCUGAGAGGGUGAUCGGCCACACUGGAACUGAGACACGGUCCAGACUCCUACGGGAGGCAGCAGUAGGGAAUCUUCCGCAAUGGGCGAAAGCCUGACGGAGCAACGCCGCGUGAGUGAUGAAGGUCUUCGGAUCGUAAAACUCUGUUAUUAGGGAAGAACAUAUGUGUAAGUAACUGCGCACAUCUUGACGGUACCUAAUCAGAAAGCCACGGCUAACUACGUG